UCGUAGGCGACUGCGAAUCUGAAGGAAGCUAUCGGGAUCGAGCCUACUAAUAGAAACUUCAUAUAAGGCGGGGAUGUGUGGGUGAUGUUGCAAAAGAAACAGAAGCCCAAUACUGCACGGAACACAUGAACGUAAAUGAAGAGGCUACGUAAACAGAAAGCAAAUGAU
rnacentral:ncRNA from 1 species